AGUGUCCUACGGGGCGCAGCAGUGAGGGAUAUUGGUCAAUGGCCGAGAGGCUGAACCAGCCAAGUCGCGUGAGGGAGGACGGCCCUACGGGUUGUAAACCUCUUUUGUCAGGGAGCAAGGGACAGGUCGUGACCUGUUGUGAGAGUACCUGAAGAAAAAGCAUCGGCUAACUCCGUGCCAGCAGCCGCGGUAAUACGGAGGAUGCGAGCGUUAUCCGGAUUUAUUGGGUUUAAAGGGUGCGCAGGCGGAUUUUUAAGUCAGCGGUCAAAUCGUGGGGCUCAACCCCAUCCAGCCGUUGAAACUGG
rnacentral:rRNA from 1 species